rnacentral:rRNA from 1 species
ACCGCUUAGAAGGAAACGGGUAGAGCUGGUGAUAGUUGGCAAGAUUCAGUCUCCUGAUCUGAAAAGGUAGUCAGCUCAGAUUUUCGAACUGGGUUGGCUGCUGAAUGUUGGGGAGGGGGAUGCAUUUCUUGUCAAUGUGCACUGAGGGUGUCUGAGAUGCGGAAAGAACGGCUAGUUGUCGGCCUUGUUAAGAGGCGUCCCACUGGCUGCUAAAUCUGUUGUUUUGGGCAUCUGUUCAGCGCUCAGUUCAAUAGUUCUGCUGCUGGAUCGGUGGGAGUUGUGUACUGAACUAGUUCGGUGUACUGUCCCCUGGACAUGAGUGGGAUGAUUUUGAGCGGCGCUGGUCUCGGUGUAAAAGUCGGCGACCUACCCGACCCGUCUUGAAACACGGACCAAGGAGUCUAACAUGUGUGCGAGUCACUGAGUGGCAAACUCAGAGGCGCAAUGAAAGUGAAGGCCAUUUAUUGGCUGAUACAGGAUCCCCAGCUUCGGCUGGGGAGCACUGUAGCCCCGUCCUGAUCGCUUGUCGGUAGGGCGGAGGCAGAGCAGACACGUUGGGACCCGAAAGAUGGUGAACUAUGCCUGAGCAGGACGAAGCCAGAGGAAACUCUGGUGGAGGUCCGAAGCGGUUCUGACGUGCAAAUCG